GAAAGUAAAAGUCGUAACAAGGUUUCCGUAGGUGAACCUGCGGAAGGAUCAUUCAUAAUAAAGUGUUUUAUGGCACUUUUUAAAAAUCCAUAUCCACCUUGUGUGCAAUGUUAGAUCUCGUCAAUCUUGGCGAGAUUUUUAUACAUCAACUCAUUCUUUAACUAAUUUGUCUGAAAAAUAUUAUGAAUACUUAAUUCAAAAUACAACUUUCAACAACGGAUCUCUUGGCUCUC
rnacentral:misc_RNA from 1 species